GACAGUAGUAGGGGUGGCCCCUGAGGAAUUCGGUGACAUCCAUCAGACACCUUGCAUUCAGAACCUGGCAAAUUCAGUCUCUUCCAAGAACUUAAUGCCAGGUUCAAUGGGAGACUGCACCUGUCCGAACACUGUGUGAAAUACCAGAAGUAGAUGCCUGCAGCCUGCUUCCUCCAUUCCCAAUGCCCAAAGCAGAUGUGGAAACCAAGACCCAGAGAGGGGAAUUCAUUUGAAUCCUGUCUUGGAGCUGCUUUUGUUCCUGGGUUUAGAAAGUUCCUGGGAACACAGGGAAAGGAAAGGUGGCUCUACUUUUCAGCCAGGGUAAAAGCCUUCUGCCCAACUGUUCCUGGUGAUCCAGAGAUGGCUUUUUUUUGGUGAAAGAGACAGACCAAUCACUCUUUGUGCAGGGAGAUGGAAUCAGCUAUAUCAUUCCUCUCUCUGGCAGCACAAGUUGAGAGACCCCAUAAUAAAGUUUAGUCCUGAGCUAAGCUAACCCA